UUUUGUUUUUGCUGUGCCGGGGUUUUUGAAGCUCUUUGUAAAUCCUGGAUAUCAGUCCCCUAUCACUUGCGUAGUGUGCAAAAGUUUUCUCCCCUUUGGUUGCUUGCUUCUUCACUUUGUUGAUGUUUGCUUUUCUC